UACGUAGGGGGCAAGCGUUAUCCGGAUUUACUGGGUGUAAAGGGGGCGCAGACGGCCAUGGCAAGCCCGGUGUGAAAGGCAGGGGCAUAACCCCUGGACUGCACUGGGAACUGUCAGGCUGGAGUGCCGGAGGGGUAAGCGGAAUUCCUGGUGUAGCGGUGAAAUGCGUAGAUAUCAGGAGGAACACCGGCGGCGAAGGCGGCUUACUGGACGGCAACUGACGUUGAGGCCCGAAAGCGUGGGGAGCGAACAGG
rnacentral:rRNA from 1 species